GAUGAACGCUGGCGGCGUGCCUAAUACAUGCAAGUAGAACGCAGAGGGAAGGAGCUUGCUCUUUCCGCGUGAGUUGCGAACGGGUGAGUAACGCGUGGGUAACCUGCCUGGUAGCGGGGGAUAACUAUGGGAAACGGUAGCUAAUACCGCAUAACAUUAUAAGUCGCAUGAUAUCUACUUAAAAGGCGCAAUUGCUGCACUACCAGAUGGACUUGCGUUGUAUUAGCUUGUUGGUGAGGUAACGGCUCACCAAGGCGACGAUACCUUGCCGAACUGAGAGGGUGGUUGGCCAACCUGGGAAGGGGACACGGCCCAGGCUCCUACGGGGAGGAGCCAGAGGGAAACGUCGGGAAGGGGGGGAAGGCUGACCGAACAACGCCGCGGGGGGGGAUAAGGGUUUCGGGUCCGAAAGAUCGGGUGUAAGGGAAGAAACAGAGUGGGAGUGGAAAGUUCACACUGUGACGGUAUCUUAUCAGAAAGGGACGGCUAACUACGUG
rnacentral:rRNA from 1 species